rnacentral:sRNA from 1 species
AGGGACACAACAUGGCGGCGGGAUCCCUAAUGCUCUCCUUCGAGGGACCACCACGGAGAUCCUAGUGCGGGACCCCGCCUCAGGGAAGUGGAAAGCAGGGGGACAACCUUCCUGCCUCUUUCUUUUCCGUCCAGUGUCGGCAAGGGGUUGUCACCGGCUUCCGCAUCCAAGAUGAAGAACUAUAAAGCCAUUGGCAAAAUAGGAGAGGGAACGUUUUCUGAGGUUAUGAAGAUGCAAAGCCUGAGAGAUGGAAACUACUAUGCGUGUAAACAAAUGAAGCAGCGCUUUGAAAGGUAGGCCACAGAGAUGCACUUGGGACCAAACACAGAUCCAGGUUUCAAUCAAUAACGGCGACUUAAUAUUAGGGGGGAACUUUAUUGAUUUAAUAAUAUGUAAGAUACAAUCAGAUUUCUUUGGGCAGUGAGGGUUAUAUGCUAAUGUUAUGUUUAUCAUACUGGACUUUACUCAUAUCCAGGCUUACUGUAAUAUCAGUGAUGAAUGACCAUAAAAAAGUUUGUUUCAAAAGUGUGUCUCACCUUAAACAGUCUGUAUGUUCCUAAAAGUUAUAUAUGUGUUGGAUUUCUUUUUUUUUUUAAUUAAAAAAACAGCAAAAAAAUUAUAUAUCAACCAAUGGAACA